rnacentral:rRNA from 1 species
GAUGAACGCUGGCGGCGUGCCUAAUACAUGCAAGUAGAACGCUGAAGGAGGAGCUUGCUCUUCUGGAUGAGUUGCGAACGGGUGAGUAACGCGUAGGUAACCUGCCUGGUAGCGGGGGAUAACUAUUGGAAACGAUAGCUAAUACCGCAUGACAACAGUUAUUGCAUGAUAACUGUUUAAAAGGGGCAACUGCUCCACUACCAGAUGGACCUGCGUUGUAUUAGCUAGUUGGUGAGGUAACGGCUCACCAAGGCGGCGAUACAUAGCCGACCUGAGAGGGGGAUCGGCCGCACUGGGACGGAGACCCGCCUCAGACUCCUACGGGAGGCAGCCGUAGGGAAUCUUCGGCCAUGGGCGGAAGUCUGAGCGAGCUACGCCGAGUGAGUGAACAAGGUUUUCGGGUCGGAAAGCUCUGUUGUAAGAGAGGAACGAGUGUGAGAGUGGAAAGUUCACACUGUGACGGUAUCUUACCAGAAAGCGACGGCUAACUACGUG